GCACSUGCGCGUGCUAUCAUGCAAGUCUAGCGGACAGAUGGGAGCUUGCUCCCUGAUGUCAGCGGCGGACGGGUGAGUAACACGUGGGUAACCUGCCUGUAAGACUGGGAUAACUCCGGGAAACCGGGGCUAAUACCGGAUGCUUGAUUGAACCGCAUGGUUCAAUUAUAAAAGGUGGCUUUUAGCUACCACUUACAGAUGGACCCGCGGCGCAUUASCUAGUUGGKGAGGUAACGGYUCACCAAGGCAACGAUGCGWAGCCGACCUGAAAGGGUGAUCGGCCACACUGGGACUGAAACACGGCCCAAACUCCUACGGAAGGMAGCAGWAGGGAAUCUUCCGCAAUGGACAAAAGUYUGACGGAGCAACGCCGCGUGAGUGAUGAAGGUUUUCGGAUCGUAAAACUCUGUUGUUAGGGAAAAACAAGUACCGUUCGAAUAGGGCGGAACCUUGACGGAACCUAACCARAAAGCCACGGUUAACUACGUGCCACCAGCCGCGGUAAUACGUAGGUGGCAAGCGUUGCCCG
rnacentral:rRNA from 1 species